CCAAUAGCGUAUAUUAAAGUUGUUGCAGUUAAAAAGCUCGUAGUUGAAUUUCGGGGUUCAUCCGUUGGUCGGGCUUUUUGGUCUGUACUGGCGUGAUGGAUUCCUACCUUCUGAAUAACCGGCAUGUCAUUAAUUUGGUGCGCCGGGGAAGCAGGACUGUUACCUUGAAAAAAUUAGAGUGCUUAAAGCAGGCUAUCGCCUGAAUACAUUAGCAUGGAAUAAUGAAAUAGGACGGCAUGGUUCUAUUUUGUUGGUUUCUAGGAUCACCGUAAUGAUUAAUAGGGAUAGUUGGGGGCAUUAGUAUUCAAUUGUCAGAGGUGAAAUUCUUGGAUUUAUUGAAGACUAACUUCUGCGAAAGCAUUUGCCAAGGAUGUUUUCAUUAAUCAAGAACGAAAGUUAGGGGAUCGAAGACGAUCAGAUACCGUCGUAGUCUUAACCAUAAACUAUGCCGACUAGGGAUCGGACGAUGUUAAUUUUUUAAUGACUCGUUCGGCGCCUCACG
rnacentral:rRNA from 1 species